rnacentral:rRNA from 1 species
CUGGCUCAGGAUGAACGCUAGUGGCAGGCUUAACACAUGGCAAGUCGAGGGGCAGCGGGUCCAGCAAGUGGACGCCCGGGCGAACCGGGCGAAAGGGUGAGUAACGCGUGAGCAACAUGCCCGACACUGGGGGAUAGUCAUUGGAAACGAUGCGUAAUACCCCGUAACACAAGGGACCGCAUGAUCCUUUGUUGAAAGAUUUCAUUGGUGUCGGAUUGGCUCGCGUGCCAUUAGGUAGACGGCGGGUAACGGCCCACCGUGCCGACGAUGGCUAGGGGUUCUGAGAGGAAGGUCCCCCACAUUGGAACUGAGACACGGUCCAGACUCCUACGGGAGGCAGCAGUGAGGAAUAUUGGACAAUGGCCGGAAGGCUGAUCCAGCCAUGCCGCGUGCGGGAUGACGGCCCUAUGGGUUGUAAACCGCUUUUGCCGGGGAGCAAUAAGGCCCACGCGUGGGCCGACGAGAGUACCCGGCGAAUAAGCAUCGGCUAACUCCGUGCC